UACGAAGGGGGCUAGCGUUGUUCGGAAUUACUGGGCGUAAAGCGUGCGUAGGUGGUUUGUUAAGUCUGUUGUGAAAGCCCCGGGCUCAACCUGGGAAUGGCAAUGGAUACUGGCAGGCUAGAGUGCGGUAGAGGGUAGUGGAAUUCCCGGUGUAGCGGUGAAAUGCGUAGAUAUCGGAAGGAACACCAGUGGCGAAAGCGGCUUCCUGGUCCAGCACCGACGUUCAGGCACGAAAGCGUGGGGAGCAAACAGG
rnacentral:rRNA from 1 species